rnacentral:lncRNA from 1 species
AUGGAGCAUAUGCGAUACAAUUCAAGGAACGCAAUUAAGUUACCGUCCUUCGGUUAUGUACUUAAUUAACAUUCUGCAAUACAUACAACUGCUCUAGUUUGUUUUAAUAGUUUGCCGAACGGCCCAUUCUUCAAAGAAUGGGUUGAUUGGUAAACUCAAAUUAUCCAAUGAGCCAAUUUGGAUCUACUCAAAUGAUACGACAGGUCGGAAUGGGCCACUCUUAUAUAACUUGCUAACUUAAAACGGGUCAAAAUGGGUUAGCACCACCUACGACCAAUUCACCAAAGAGAAGUCAACACGAUCAAGCUUACGGACAUGUCAUCUGCCACAUAAUCAUUUUGACCUGAUAGCUUCUAUUUUCUAUCAAAAAUCGUAAAGGAGUAAAAUGGCAUUU